GAUGAACGCUGGCGGCGUGCCUAAUACAUGCAAGUCGAGCGAACGGACGAGAAGCUUGCUUUUCUGAUGUUAGCGGCGGACGGGUGAGUAACACGUGGAUAACCUACCUAUAAGACUGGGAUAACUUCGGGAAACCGGAGCUAAUACCGGAUAAUAUUUUGAACCGCAUGGUUCAAAAGUGAAAGACGGUCUUGCUGUCACUUAUAGAUGGAUCCGCGCUGCAUUAGCUAGUUGGUAAGGUAACGGCUUACCAAGGCAACGAUGCAUAGCCGACCUGAGAGGGUGAUCGGCCACACGGGAACGGAGACACGGUCCAGACUCCUACGGGAGGCAGCAGUAGGGAAUCUUCCGCAAUGGGCGAAAGCCUGACGGAGCAACGCCGCGUGAGUGAUGAAGGUCUUCGGAUCGGAAAACUCUGUUAUUAGGGAAGAACAUAUGUGUAAGUAACUGUGCACAUCUUGACGGUACCUAAUCAGAAAGCCACGGCUAACUACGUG
rnacentral:rRNA from 1 species